GAUGCGGUGCAGGAAACUGUUGAAACGUCAAAGAAACGGAUCCACGUGGAAAGUUUAGUGUUUGGAAUGACUUGUGUUGUUGUUUGCAUUAUUUGUUUUCAACGUUUCGCACGUCCAGAUAGAUGAUCCUGAAGAAGUGCGCGACUGAAAUAGAAAGCAGAGCUGAAACAGGAGCUUCUGCGAGGAGCUGAGCCAGUUCAGAGCGCACAGCCGCACUGCGAUCUGGGUUGAAAGCGGGCUCGAUCCCAUCCCAGCAACAACUUUGUCAAACUUCGGGGAUACUCUGCGUGGAUCUUGGAGCGUCUCGGUGAUCCUGACAUUCUGAGUUUUCCAGUUUCCUCUGAGGUCCAAACCUGCAGCGCUGCAGCUGCACGCGCACGCCCCGCCCCUGCACCUCUCUGUGCGCUCAGAGUUGAAGCGCAGCUCUGAUGAGAGCGCAGCAGCGAGCGCGCGGCAGCGUCUUCGGCGAGUCUCACAAGUCUGUUUUUGAGAGGAGAAAGGACCGAGGGGAGUUGUUGUGUCUGUGCUCACACGCGUGGAAGCUGUCUAUGCGUGGAGGUGGGGGCUGCGUUUUGCAGGGGGGGCUUCUUUCCACGCGCGUGUGUCCGGACAGAAGACGGACGGGGUUGGAGCCGCCGUGGAUGAGCGCGUUUUGAGCCGCUGCUGCUGAAGAGAGGAUCCGGAGCAGUCGGAGGAAAUGAAGCUCCUGCCAUGCGUGACGGUGAUCACCGCCCUGCUGCUGCAGCUUGGACCCGCGCGCGGACGUUUUCGUGAGGCCAGUAAGGAUCCAGUGGGCACUUUACUAAUGACUGGUGCACGUUCCAUGGUACGUUCCAUUUUCAUGACAUGCCCUAAGGUGACUGCACAAGCCUCAAUGGAACUGCAAGACACACCUGUGCUCCUCUUAAGAUGCAGCCCCUUCUCUCUACGACCUUCCACGGGCGCAGACAAUCCAAAAAUCUGUAGCCCCCAUAUCGAUCAACCCCCUACACAAGUGCAUGUGAGUAAAGCUUUACAUCAACAGACUCAGAAAAAGUAGAGCAUUCUCCAAAAGUCUCAAUUCCAUAAACAUGCACCAGGCCCUCCCCCAAUCCCCUCAUUUAGCCAAUAACUGAACCCUAUAAGUCUCAACCCCCAACAACAGGUUGAAUGACAGAACCCAGGGCCAUCAAGCAUGUCUGCUUGGCUCCAGAGCAUAGAAGCUCCAGAGCAUAGAACACUGAGCAGAGCCCCAACAGACACCAACCCAACGCAGUCUGCUACAAUAUUUACAAAUCUGGAACUUGAUCUGGAAGGAUGGAAGGUUGAGGAUGCUACAGGGUCUUCACAAAGAACCACUAGAGGCAGAAUUAAAAUAGUAAUUUAAUUGUUUCUCACUGCUCCUUUCCAAGAAGAUGGACUUAUGUUGUAUUGAAUAUGCUCUUGUGUUGGGGCACUCUUUAUGAAAAGAACAUGAAUAAACACGACAGAACAGAAGGGGACACACAAGUGCUCCUUUACCUGCUCUUUCUCUCCUCAGUGAGCAUCAAACGGACAUUAAACGUUCUUAAGCCCCCAUCCAGGUGAAGUCAGAGAUAAAGGCAAAAGACUUAUUUUAGAAGGGGGCGGAUUUUCAGGAUUAACCGUUAGUAAGAAGGAGCUUCCUUCUAUCCAUCUUUAGAGUCCACUUCAGAUGUUUAGGGGAGCGAUUUUCAUCGAGAUCUCUUUGUGACAGCAUCUGAACCAUAAAUGUGACACUUGGUCCGACACCCCACCCCCACCCCCAACUUUGGUUGACGUAAAGGCCCAAACUCUUGAGUAGUCAUGAUCCCAUUCACCUAUUCUCACACACUGAGGGUGGCUACACUACCAUCAACCCAUUACUACCAUUGCAUUGUGGGAUUCAGUGUCUUGCCCAAGGACACUUGGACACAUGCGGGAACCAAACCUGUGAUCUUUAGAUCAGACGUGGACCUCUGCUCCACAGCUGCCCUUUCUUAUUCAGCCCGCCUGGAAUGGGUAGGUUUCAUUGUAAUCUGGGGGCUUUUAACCCUUUAACACGUAUUCUGGAUUAUGUCAAGGUUUAUUCCAGAAUGACCCCCUCUUCCUUAUAUCUAGAUCUAGGGUCUUGUUUUGUGGAGGGUGGGGGGAGCUGGUGGCGUGUUGGGGCAAGACUUGUGCGAUGUGGCGCACCCUUCCAGCUGUGUAAAGCUUGGCUAAGCCUCUGCAGCUCUUUCAAUAGAUAAAUGAAGCAGUUGUUCCAGCAAAGCCCAUCAGAAGUUCUGCUGGGGGGUUUGGGGGGAUAAUACUUCAUUGCUUCAAUGCAGGUUUUAAAAAAUAUAUUUGAACUAAGCCUCAGGAAGAAAGAAAUUCAGAACAAGGUGUGUUCAUAUGUUCUUUCUAAAGAUAAACUAGGGAAGCGGGCGACCCGAGGACUUGAACUAUUAACCCACUUUGACUUCAGAAUAUGGUCCCUCCCCCUAUUUCUGCCGUGAAGCUUCAUAGAUAAACAUGAAGGAAAUCAAAUUAUCUAAAUUACCUUUCAUUUCAAACAUAAACUCAGCUGCUUUUUCAGGGGUUAGAUUUGGAUUAAAAUGCUCCUCUUUGAAAGUCCUUUAAUGGGCAAACACAGUUCCAGAAAACAGGAAGUGCCGUUACUCGAACCAACAUCAAUGCCAGCGUUUUUUACUGAGAUGAUGUUCUUCGGGGUUCUUACUUACAUAAUUCAUGUUUAUACAGUUUAUAACUGUAACUUCAGUCGGAAAAGGAGUUACAAACUAAAGCUAAGUUGUGUAGAGUUUAUUACAGUAAUCAAAGGUUGGUAACAGUUAGCAAAAAUAGUGCACUUGAAGUUUAAUAUCAUGCUAAAUCAACUAUUUUGAGCUUUUAAGUGUAUUAUAAUCUUCACUCCACACAACCCCAAAGCGGUAUUUUGAUCCAUUCACGCAUUUCUGAGAAUUCCUCUAAAUUGUUUAUAUUUAUUAUACUGUAUUUAUCCCACAAUGGGAAAUUUGUUUUGCAUUUGACCCAUCCCCUGGGGGAGUGGUGAGCUGCAGGCAAUCCGCGCUUGGGAGGCAGUAGCGUUAAGAGAAUUGCCCAAGGGCUCUCACUGGGUGAUUCUAAUUGCUCGCCAUUGAUAUGGUACCAUUGUUCAUUCCCCUCCGGGAAUCGAACCCUGGUUUCCUGCGUGGUAGUUUCUCACCUUACCAACUGAGCUCCCAAGUCUCGUUGAUGACUAUUAAACUUUUUUCAUUUUUUAUUUAUGUCAAGAGGAUGUCAGGGUCUGAAGAGAGAAAGACCUGUGCCAAACCAAAAUGUACAUGGAUGAGACAAAAGUGUGCACAAGACAAA
ensembl:lncRNA